rnacentral:rRNA from 1 species
UCAUGCCUACGGGGGGCAGCAGUGGGGAAUAUUGCGCAAUGGGCGAAAGCCUGACGCAGCGACGCCGCGUGAGGGAUGAAGGUCUUCGGAUCGUAAACCUCUGUCAGCAGGGAAGAACGGUCACUGUGCUAAUCAGCAGUGAAUUGACGGUACCUGCAAAGGAAGAACCGGCUAACUCCGUGCCAGCAGACGCGGUAAUACGAAGGGGGCAAGCGUUAUCCGGAAUUACUGGGUGUAAAGGGUGAGUAGGCGGCGCGUUAAGCCUGGUGUGAAAGCCCGCGGCCCAACCGCG